rnacentral:rRNA from 1 species
GUGGGGAAUAUUCCGCAAUGGACGAAAGUCUGACGGAGCAACGCCGCGUGAGUGAUGAAGGUUUUCGGACUGUAAAGCUCUGUUGUUUAGGACGAAAGUGCCUGUUGCAAAUAGUUACAGGUAUUGACGGUACUGAACGAGGAAGCCACGGCUAACUACGUGCCAGCAGCCGCGGUAAUACGUAGGUGGCAAGCGUUGUCCGGAAUUAUUGGGCGUAAAGAGCAUGUAGGCGGGAAUCUAAGUCUGUUGUGAAAAUGCGGGGCUCAACCCCGUAGUUCGAUGGAAACUGGGUUUCUUGAGUGCAGGAGAGGAAAGGGGAAUUCCCAGUGUAGCGGUGAAAUGCGUAGAUAUUGGGAGGAACACCAGUGGCGAAGGCGCCUUUCUGGACUGUGUCUGACGCUGAGAUGCGAAAGCCAGGGUAGCGAACGGGAUUAGAAACCCGAGUAGUCC